UAAGAGGUUUGAAUCUGAGGUCAUGUGCUCAGAAGCUCCAGAAUCCAAAAUCCAAGAGACAUGGUCAAUAGAAACACUAACAUAAGGCUUAGUAUGAGGAAAAGCAUUAGAAAUACUAGCACAAUUAGCAAUAGGACUGUCUGAAGAAACUUGUUCCCCUGGAGAUCCAAUUUUCACAUGUUGCAGUAGUUGACAAAGAUUGAGAUACUGAUCAUGUAUCAUUGGUAUAUCUCAUAAGCUGUUAGAGUGAGAAUCACCUUCCUCACUAGUGAGAGCAACAUUGCUUUUUGCACCUGUCUCAAUUCUCCUAGACUUGGUGAAUUUAAAAUCUGCAGGAAAACCAAUUAGCCUAUAACAAUUGUCUACUACAUGAUUUUUAUUUUUGCAAAAAGAAAGUUGCCUCUGAUGGCUGCUAAUGAUCUGUACCUCCCUUUGCUUUUUAUCUCGGAUCAGCAAAGAGUAGGCAAGGUUGACUGAGGGAAGUGGAGAGAUCAUCAGUAAGUUGCUCCUUGAUCCAGAGUAAGCAUCAUUCAGGCCCAUAAGAAACUGAAUUAGCCUGCUAUCCUGCUGAGACUUGGAGGUCUUCUCUUUUCCUGCCCAUAAACAAGCACAGGUACAGUGUUGGCAAGUAUCCAAACUAUCAAGCUCAUCCCAGAGCCUUUUUAGCCUGGUGUAGUAAGCUGCCAUGUCAAGAUUUCCUUGAGUCAACUCACUGAUUUGUUGUUGCAGUUGAUAGAGCUGAGGACCAUUUGUCUGACCAAACCUUUCCUCUAGCUCAUUCCAGAUAUACCCAGCAGUCUUGGAGUAAAACACACUCUCAGCUAUUUCCCUCGAGAGUGCAUUGGGCAGCUAGGAGAUAACCAUAUCAUUGCAUGUGCUCUAAGAUUUAUACCUCUCAGUUGAGAUCUUGGGCUCAACAAUAGAACUAUCUAUGAAGCCUAACUUAUUUUUAGCAGAUAAGGCAAUGAGAAUCCCUCUCUUCCAACCUACAUACCCUUUGCCUGUGAAAGGGUGUUCACAAACACCAUCCCUGGUGAAUCAGAGGAAUGGAUGAAGAAAGGGUGUGAAGAAUCAAUGUCUAAUUUCAAGACAUCAGUGUGAGAACCACCAACUCCAGUUUCAGCAAGGGGAGUGGUUUCAGGUAAAACAAGUGAAUUGGGAUCCCCCAUUUGAAAUGAGGAUGAAUGAUGAGCAAAAGAAUGAUAUGAGCUUCAAAGCUCUGAUACCAUGUAAGAAUGGCAGAACGCAAAUAGAGAGUUUUGUGAAAAUUUUCUUUGAUUACUUCACUGCAAGGAAUGGCAAUAUAUACAAGUAUAAAAGAUAAACAACAACACAACUCAUACUAGUUUAAAUAACAACAAACUCAUACUAGUUAUAAUAAUAAUAAAGCUCAUACUAGUUGAAGGGGAACCUUGAAAUAACUGGUAAAGUUGUUUUUAUGUGAUCAGGAGGUCAUGGUUUCAAGCCUUGGAAACAGUCUCUAGCAGAAAUGCAAAGUAAGGUUGCAUACAAUAGACCCUUAUGGUCGGGCCCUUCUCCGGACUCUGCGCAUAGCGGGAGCUUAGUGCACCGGGUUGUCCUAAGGAUAAUAAAAGGAAGCUUGUGAUCUAUCUUCAUUUCAACUAUGAGCAGAGAAGCCAUGAUUCUCUUCUUAAAUCUACCGCAAAUAACUUUGAAUCACCAGCUUCUUCUUGAUAUUUUUAGUGCCUAAAUUGAGUUGUUGAUGUGAUAAACAGUUUAUUUCCAACAUGGUCAACGCAAUUGAGGUGUGUUUUCAUGUAUGAAAAUCUUGAAUAAGUGA